UUGAAUGUGUCAGGUAGGCAGUGCAUCUCUAGCUGGCUGUUAAAAUUUCAUUUUAACAGUUGCUAGUUGCACUCCCCUCUGUUGCAUUCAUA
rnacentral:pre_miRNA from 1 species